CACGUAGGGCGUAAGCGUUGUCCGGAAUUAUUGGGCGUAAAGAGCUCGUAGGCGGUCUGUUGCGUCCGCUGUGAAAACUCGGGGCUUAACCCCGAGCCUGCAGUGGAUACGGGCAGACUAGAGGUAGGUAGGGGAGAAUGGAAUUCCCGGUGUAGCGGUGAAAUGCGCAGAUAUCGGGAGGAACACCGGUGGCGAAGGCGGUUCUCUGGGCCUUACCUGACGCUGAGGAGCGAAAGCGUGGGGAGCGAACAGG
rnacentral:rRNA from 1 species